GACCUGGGCCAACACGCGUACGCAUGGAAGCAGCAGUGUGUGUAUGUGAGUGGGUCAGAGCCACAGAGGUAAAUUAUCACAACAAUGUGACACAGCAAUAAAAGCUACUUGCAUACACGUAGAAGCAACAAAUGGGUAGGCUACGUACAUACACGUAGAAAGAUGGAUAGACAAACUAUAAGAUAUAUAAUACUGUCCGCAAGCAACGUAUAACUAAUAACCCAGAACUUAGGAGUAUGACAGCAAAAUGAUUAUGAUUGAGGAGUAAAUGAGGUCAAACCUACAGAUAGUAUCUACUUAGACACAGAAAACAAAGGUAAAGAAUGAACAGAUAGGCAUGG
rnacentral:lncRNA from 1 species